rnacentral:rRNA from 1 species
GACGAACGCUGGCGGCGUGCUUAACACAUGCAAGUCGAACGGAAAAGCCCUGCUUUUUUGUGGUUCUCGCGUGGCGCACGGGUGUGUAACACGUGAGUCACCUUCCCUUUACUUUGUGAUUACUUCAGGAAACUGGGGCUAAUACCUGCUUGGAGCUCCUGCUGCUUGGGGGGGGUUGGAAAGCUUUGGCGGUUGGGGAUGGACUCCCGGUUUAUUAGCUUGUUGGUGGGGUAGUGGCCUACCAAGCCUUCGACGGGUAGUCGGCCUGAGAGGGGGACCGGCCACAUGGGGACUGAGAUACGGCCCAGACUCCUACGGGAGGCAGCAGUGGGGAAUAUUGCACAAUGGGCGGAAGCCUGAUGCAGAAACGCCGCGUGCGGGAUGAAGGCCUUCGGGUUGUAAACCGCUUUCGCCUGUGACGAAGCGUGAGUGACGGUAAUGGGUAAAGAAGCACCGGCUAACUACGUG